rnacentral:lncRNA from 1 species
AUAUUUAUUCUCUUGGUCCAUGUCACGGGUGCCCAAACAAAACUAAACAAAACAAACCAUCCUAACGCAAGACCAAUCCACACAGGUCAGUCAUUGCGCAUCUUUUUGAAAGCCACUUCCCCGCCCGGCCCUAACUCGGCUGCACUCAAUAGUACGUCACACUGGGUGCUACUAUGGAAUUAUUUCCGUAAACCUCGCGCGCGUUCACGAAACCUCGCGCGCGUUCACAAAGAAAGUCGGCGCGUGGUUGCGCCACUGGCGCGGAGCAAUUCCAUAGCGCGCGACCAGUAUUCCUCCGCGCGAAGUAAAACUCGACGCCCGCGACCUAGGUAUCGCUGCGCGCUGUCAGUGUUUCUCCGCGCGAGGUGUAACUCGACGCGCGCGAGAGCUAACCCGCCGCGCGCCAUGUAGGAUCGCAUGGCUCAAGGUUGUAUGUUGCCAAACGUCUUUUUAAUUAAAGUUUAACCAAUUGAUGGAGUGACAUAGUUGCCGUGUCAGUUUAAACCCUGAGGAAAUAUGAAUAGGACCAGCGGGAGAUUCAAAAUGACGACGUGUUUUCCUGAGGAAAUAUGGUUAUGUAUAUAUUUGAAGGGGGAAAUGUAAUUUUCAUGAAAAAGAAUAUGUAAGUCAAGAAACUCUUAACGCUUUGGAGCUAAUAACAUUAUGAAUGCCAAGCUGUUAAAAAUGAAAGAGACUAGUUUCACUAGUAAAGAGCAGUCAAGAAUCCUUACAUUUAUUGAUACUCCACAGCUAAAAAUUUUUAUUUCUUCUCUUAUCCUACUUUGCUCAGAAGUUCUUUAACAUUAUUUCCCUGGUAUUUUAUUUCUGUGCCGUUUUUCUUUCCUUAACUUUCCAAAUUUUUAUGUUCCUCCUGCUUCAGGUGCCUUAGCCGAAACAUGCUUUGGAGCCGAAUAAAUUCUAUGUACUAGUACUAUUUAUUUAUUAAUUAAUGUAUUUUUUAAUUUAUUGAUUCAUGUAUGCUUUAUUUAAUAAUUUAUUUAUUUCUUUAAUACCUAUAAUAUUUAACAAUCUUAACAAUUUACCCCCCCUCCAUUAUAUUAAUUACGUGCAUACAUUUUUAACUUAUUUAAUUUAAAAACUAUGUUUUCUUUCGAAAAUCCUUUGAAUUUAUAAUACGUUUAACCUUCUUUCUUUUCCCAGUUUUCCUUUCUUAUCCCUUUUUUCCUUUUUUCUUUUAAGCAAACUAUAAAAAAAUUAACUUAAAAAUAUAUACAUAAUACAUAUGUACACAUGAAUUUGAAUGGCAUAUAUUUUCGUGAUCUACCACCCGUGAUCACUGCUCUUCACAAGGUUUCAGGUCUGGUCCGACAUCAUGGGAAAAUGCAGAAGUCUAUUUUCUCCGGAAAAUACACUAAUAUACCUACCUACUGCAUCACAUUGAGUUUCUACCACAUCUUCUUUAAGUCUAUCAAUAAACUAUAAAGGCAUUUUAAGGCCCUCUUUGAUGAUGAUGCCUUAAUUUCCACAGGAAGCAUGUUAAAUUCCCAUACACCCUCGUUUGCGUACCUCUGCGUAUACCUACUUACGUAUUUUUUAGUUACAGUCGCGACUUCUGCGAAUCACAUAUCCGUCCCCCUGUCCAUGCUAUUCAUUCAAUUUUAUUACGAAAGGCUAUUUAAGUAAUGAUUCUCUCCUUAGUCUCUUCAAAUAUUUUUCCUCCAUUUUGCGCAUUCAUUUUUCCCGGCCAGUUAAGUUAAUGUUCAAAUUGACUUCGGAACUGUACGUUUCCCCUCUAUUUUUAUUUGCAUACAAUGAAGAUUAAUUUAUUAGCAUUUUGUGUCUUAUUCUAUACUUUCGGCAUUAGGCGAUGAAGGCUUCGACCCUAUGCGACGUCUGUUAUUACAAUGGGUUACUAAACCAUGAAAGAAUACAGGAACAAAUGAUUCGAGCCAAUAUACAUAUCCAGAUACGCUUCAAAAUAGUUGGAAAACAACAGGUAUUCUAUUAAUGGAGCAUUUCUCUAACUUCUGCUGUUGCUGAUUCACAUGAUUUUUUUUUUUGGGUUGUUACAAGAUGCAAUCUGCCAAGGUAGGCUAAAAAUUACCUCUAUGAUUAUUUUGCGUAACCUCACUGGAUCAUUAGUAGUAUGAAUAUGAGGACUUGACUCGGUAAAAGGUCCAAUAAAAAUCGUACAGCGUUGCAUGAUGGAGCAAAUAAAUAAAAUGAUUUAAUUAUUUGUGCAAUUUUGCAACAUCGAAUUUUACAGUGUUGCCAGAUGUGGCAAGAAAUUAGUUGAUUUUUCCGUACAUGGUUGCCAGAUUGUGCAAAAAAUUCGGAUUUUCGGACUUGUAAAAAUAUUCAACAUUGAUAGACCGUAUCUUACAGUAUGGGGCUGGUAUCGGAGACUGGAGAAUGGGGUCUGAUUCGGAAAUUGAAAAAUUUUCGGAAAAUUACCCUCCUCCGAUCCGCCGCGGAGCGAUGCGAAUCUUUUACACUAUCGAAGAUCGGAAAACUGUACAGACCGAAUUUUGAUACGACUUUUUGUUUUCGAGAUUUCGGACUUGUAAAAUUUUUUCGAUAGACCGUAUCUUACAGUAUGGGCCUGGUAUCGGAGACUGGAGAGUGGGGUCUGGUGCGGGAAUUUCAAUUUUUAGCGGCGUGGCGGCGGUGUGCGCGUGGCGGUGUGUAUCGAAACCUUGUGUUUUGGGACGGGCAACUGGGAUUGGAUAUUGCAAUGUUCAGUUUGAUGAAUCAAAAUUUUUAUUUUUUUUUAAGGAAAUAUACUGUUACAGUUUGAGAAACGUACGCGUUUAGUAAACCCACGCGUUUAGAUUGUCAACCGCAAACAUCGAUCCCUUCUCCUUCUCCGAACUUUAAAUCGACACUUAUAUCAUCGACUUUCCGACUGUUUUUCUUACGGGACAUCCUGAUGAAACGGAACUUGCAGUCGGAUGAUAGGUACUUGGAGUACAGGUACGGAGCGGAACAAAUGAUCGCCAGUAAACUCAAGAUGAAUAGAAGAACGUCCGCCAAGGUAGAGGGUGCGCAUUUGAUUUCCGGAUAGACCGGGCACAUUGUGAUGUUUGCUUCGGAUGAGUUUUCUACCGCCACUGUGGAAUUCACUCCAACAACAGCGAUGAUGAUGAAAGUGAUGAGAAUUAUUUUAUCGAUCAUGAUUUCUUCCUUACGACACUGAGAAGAGAAUGCAUACUAUUUAUACCUCAUCACUCGAGGAGCAGCAAUUCAGCUUGUAUGUACAAUGAAAUGAUAUUUUUGGUGUAUAAAUAUGUUAGAGCCCACUUACAAAAACCACUCAUAAAACACCGAUAAAACGCGGGUUUGUCGCGCAAAUCAUAUUUGAGUUUUCAGAAUCGUUUCUAACGUACGCACGCACUCAUAGUCACACACAU